GCGCCGGUGGUGUAAGGCGAACAUCGCUGCCUGAAAAGCAGAAGAUGCGGGUUCGAGUCCCCCCUGGCGCA
rnacentral:tRNA from 1 species